rnacentral:rRNA from 2 species
UGAGGAAUAUUGGUCAAUGGGCGCAGGCCUGAACCAGCCAAGUAGCGUGAAGGAUGACUGCCCUAUGGGUUGUAAACUUCUUUUAUAUGGGAAUAAAGUUUUCCACGUGUGGAAUUUUGUAUGUACCAUAUGAAUAAGGAUCGGCUAACUCCGUGCCAGCAGCCGCGGUAAUACGGAGGAUCCGAGCGUUAUCCGGAUUUAUUGGGUUUAAAGGGAGCGUAGGUGGACAGUUAAGUCAGUUGUGAAAGUUUGCGGCUCAACCGUAAAAUUGCAGUUGAUACUGGCUGUCUUGAGUACAGUAGAGGUGGGCGGAAUUCGUGGUGUAGCGGUGAAAUGCUUAGAUAUCACGAAGAACUCCGAUUGCGAAGGCAGCUCACUGGACUGCAACUGACACUGAUGCUCGAAAGUGUGGGUAUCAAACAGGAUUAGAUACCCUGGUAGUCCACACAGUAAACGAUGAAUACUCGCUGUUUGCGAUAUACAGUAAGCGGCCAAGCGAAAGCAUUAAGUAUUCCACCUGGGGAGUACGCCGGCAACGGUGAAACUCAAAGGAAUUGACGGGGGCCCGCACAAGCGGAGGAACAUGUGGUUUAAUUCGAUGAUACGCGAGGAACCUUACCCGGGCUUAAAUUGCAUUUGAAUAUAUUGGAAACAGUAUAGCCGUAAGGCAAAUGUGAAGGUGCUGCAUGGUUGUCGUCAGCUCGUGCCGUGAGGUGUCGGCUUAAGUGCCAUAACGAGCGCAACCCUUAUCUUUAGUUACUAACAGGUCAUGCUGAGGACUCUAGAGAGACUGCCGUCGUAAGAUGUGAGGAAGGUGGGGAUGACGUCAAAUCAGCACGGCCCUUACGUCCGGGGCUACACACGUGUUACAAUGGGGGGUACAGAAGGCAGCUACCUGGUGACAGGAUGCUAAUCCUAAAAGCCUCUCUCAGUUCGGAUCGAAGUCUGCAACCCGACUUCGUGAAGCUGGAUUCGCUAGUAAUCGCGCAUCAGCCAUGGCGCGGUGAAUACGUUCCC